rnacentral:rRNA from 1 species
CAGUCGACGAUGAACCCGCUUCGGUGGGGGAUUAGUGGCGAACGGGUGAGUAACACGUGGGCAAUCUGCCCUGCACUCUGGGACAAGCCCUGGAAACGGGGUCUAAUACCGGAUACGACCACUGAGGGCAUCCUUGGUGGUGGAAAGCUCCGGCGGUGCAGGAUGAGCCCGCGGCCUAUCAGCUUGUUGGUGGGGUGAUGGCCUACCAAGGCGACGACGGGUAGCCGGCCUGAGAGGGCGACCGGCCACACUGGGACUGAGACACGGCCCAGACUCCUACGGGAGGCAGCAGUGGGGAAUAUUGCACAAUGGGCGAAAGCCUGAUGCAGCGACGCCGCGUGAGGGAUGACGGCCUUCGGGUUGUAAACCUCUUUCAGCAGGGAAGAAGCGAAAGUGACGGUACCUGCAGAAGAAGCGCCGGCUAACUACGUGCCAGCAGCCGCGGUAAUACGUAGGGCGCAAGCGUUGUCCGGAAUUAUUGGGCGUAAAGAGCUCGUAGGCGGCUUGUCGCGUCGGUUGUGAAAGCCCGGGGCUUAACCCCGGGUCUGCAGUCGAUACGGGCAGGCUAGAGUUCGGUAGGGGAGAUCGGAAUUCCUGGUGUAGCGGUGAAAUGCGCAGAUAUCAGGAGGAACACCGGUGGCGAAGGCGGAUCUCUGGGCCGAUACUGACGCUGAGGA